rnacentral:rRNA from 1 species
AUUAAUAAUUAAUAUAUUUAAUAAAAAUAAUUUUAAUUUAAUAAGUAUUUUAAUGGGGGUUAAAGUAUUUUUUAAAGAAAAAAUUUUUAAAUUUAUAGUUAAUUAGUAUUGUGAAAGAAUUUUGAAAUAUUAUGAAAAAUAAAAUUUUUAGAAAGUAAUUUUUAUUUAUUGUAUCUUGUGUAUCAGAGUUUAUUAAAAAUUUUUAAUUUAUGAAUUAAUUUCUCGAAUUUAAAAGAGUUAAAUAAUUAUUAAAGUUAUUGUAGCAAAAUUAUUUUAAAUAAUUAUUUAGAAAUGAAAUGUUAAUCGUUUUUAAAUAUAUCUAGUUUUUAUAGAAAAAAAUUUAAUUUUAAAUUUAAGAAUUAUUUAAUUAACUUAUUAAUUAAAUAAUUACUUAAAUUUUAUAAUUUAAGGGAUAAGCUUUAAAUUAAAUUUUUAUAAUACUAAAUUUUUAUUUUGAAAAUUUUAUAAUUUAUAUUGUUAAUAAAUUUUAUUUUAUUAUAAAUAAUUUCAUUUUUUUUAAAAUUUAAAUUUUAUUUAAUUUUUUAUAUAAAAUUUAUUUAUAAUUAUAUAAAGUUAAUUAUAAUGAUAAAAUUAGUAUAUUAUUUAAUAUUAAAUUAAAAUUAAUUUUUGGUUAAUAAUUAAAUUAAUUAAAAGGAAUUCGGCAAAUAUUUAUUUUCACUUGUUUAUCAAAAACAUGUCUUUUUGUUAUUUAAUUUAAAGUCUAAUCUGCCCACUGAUUUAUAAAAAUUGAAGGGCUGCAGUAUAUUGACUGUACAAAGGUAGCAUAAUCAUUAGUCUCUUAAUUGGUGACUUGUAUGAAAGAUUGGAUGAAAAAUAUACUGUCUCUUAAUUAAUAUAUAGAAUUUAAUUUUUUAUUUAAAAAGUUAAAAUAACUUAAAAAGACGAGAAGACCCUAUAGAGUUUAAUAAAUUAUUUUAUGAAAGUUUUAUUUAUAUUUAUUAAUAAUUUUAUAAAUUUAUUUAUUUAGUUGGGGUGAUAAAAAAAUAAAUUUAACUUUUUUUAAGUAAUUUACAUGGAUAAGUGAUUAAU